rnacentral:rRNA from 1 species
AUGCACGCUGGCGGCGUGCUUAACCCAUGCAAGUCGAACGCAACACCUUAUUUGAUUUUCUUCGGAACUGAAGAUUUGGUGAUUGAGUGGCGGACGGGUGAGUAACGCGUGGGUAACCUGCCCUGUACAGGGGGAUAACAGUCAGAAAUGACUGCUAAUACCGCAUAAGACCACAGCACCGCAUGGUGCAGGGGUAAAAACUCCGGUGGUACAGGAUGGACCCGCGUCUGAUUAGCUGGUUGGUGAGGUAACGGCUCACCAAGGCGACGAUCAGUAGCCGGCUUGAGAGAGUGAACGGCCACAUUGGGACUGAGACACGGCCCAAACUCCUACGGGAGGCAGCAGUGGGGAAUAUUGCACAAUGGGGGAAACCCUGAUGCAGCGACGCCGCGUGAGUGAAGAAGUAUUUCGGUAUGUAAAGCUCUAUCAGCAGGGAAGAAAAUGACGGUACCUGACUAAGAAGCCCCGGCUAACUACGUG